GUAGGUGAACCUGCGGAAGGAUCAUUAAAGAAUCGCCCGUUUUUUGAAAUGGGUUCUAUUCCCAAACCGUGUAUACAUACCUUUGUUGCUUUGGCAGGCCGCCUCUCGAGGCGUCGGCUUCGGCUGACUGCGCCUGCCAGAGGACCCAAACUCGUUUGUUUAGUGAUGUCUGAGUACUAUAUCUUAAUAGUUAAAACUUUCAACAACGGAUCUCUUGGUUCUA
rnacentral:misc_RNA from 1 species